rnacentral:rRNA from 1 species
UAUUUUAAAGAGAGUUUGAUCCUGGCUCAGGACGAACGCUGGCGGCGUGCCUAAUACAUGCAAGUCGAACGAACGGAGGAAGAGCUUGCUCUUCCAAAGUUAGUGGCGGACGGGUGAGUAACACGUGGGCAACCUGCCUGUAAGUUGGGGAUAACUCCGGGAAACCGGGGCUAAUACCGAAUGAUAAAAUGUGGCGCAUGCCACGCUUUUGAAAGAUGGUUUCGGCUAUCGCUUACAGAUGGGCCCGCGGUGCAUUAGCUAGUUGGUAGGGUAAUGGCCUACCAAGGCAACGAUGCAUAGCCGACCUGAGAGGGUG